GACGAACGCUGGCGGCGUGCUUAACACAUGCAAGUCGAACGGUGAUCUUGAGAGCUUGCUCUUGGGUGAUCAGUGGCGAACGGGUGAGUAACACGUGAGUAACCUGCCCCUGACUCUGGAAUAACUUCGGGAAACCGAAGCUAAUACCGGAUAUGACACAGAGCCGCAUGGUUUCUGUGUGGAAAGUUUUUCGGUUGGGGAUGGACUCGCGGCCUAUCAGCUUGUUGGUGAGGUAAUGGCUCACCAAGGCGACGACGGGUAGCCGGCCUGAGAGGGCGACCGGCCACACUGGGACUGAGACACGGCCCAGACUCCUACGGGAGGCAGCAGUGGGGAAUAUUGCACAAUGGGCGAAAGCCUGAUGCAGCGACGCCGCGUGAGGGAUGAAGGCCUUCGGGUUGUAAACCUCUUUCAGUAGGGAAGAAGCGCAAGUGACGGUACCUACAGAAGAAGCACCGGCUAACUACGUGCCAGCAGCCGCAGUAACAC
rnacentral:rRNA from 1 species